rnacentral:rRNA from 1 species
UACGUAGGGUGCGAGCGUUGUCCGGAAUUACUGGGCGUAAAGAGCUCGUAGGUGGUUUGUCGCGUUGUUCGUGAAAACCGGGGGCUUAACCCUCGGCGUGCGGGCGAUACGGGCAGACUGGAGUACUGCAGGGGAGACUGGAAUUCCUGGUGUAGCGGUGGAAUGCGCAGAUAUCAGGAGGAACACCUGUGGCGAAGGCGGGUCUCUGGGCAGUAACUGACGCUGAGGAGCGAAAGCGUGGGGAGCGAACAGG